UACAGAGGUCUCAAGCGUUGUUCGGAUUCAUUGGGCGUAAAGGGUGCGUAGGCGGCGCGGUAAGUCGGGUGUGAAAUCUUGGAGCUUAACUCCGAAACUGCAUUCGAUACUGCCGUGCUUGAGGACUGGAGAGGAGACUGGAAUUUACGGUGUAGCGGUGAAAUGCGUAGAUAUCGUAAGGAAGACCAGUGGCGAAGGCGGGUCGCUGGGCCGAUACUGGACGCUGAGGAGCGAAAGCGUGGGGAGCGAACAGG
rnacentral:rRNA from 1 species